rnacentral:rRNA from 1 species
GAUGAACGCUGGCGGCGUGCCUAAUACAUGCAAGUCGAGCGAACAGACGAGGAGCUUGCUCCUCUGACGUUAGCGGCGGACGGGUGAGUAACACGUGGAUAACCUACCUAUAAGACUGGGAUAACUUCGGGAAACCGGAGCUAAUACCGGAUAAUAUAUUGAACCGCAUGGUUCAAUAGUGAAAGACGGUUUUGCUGUCACUUAUAGAUGGAUCCGCGCCGCAUUAGCUAGUUGGUAAGGUAACGGCUUACCAAGGCAACGAUUCGUAGCCGACCUGAGAGGGUGAUCGGCCACACUGGAACUGAGACACGGUCCAGACUCCUACGGGAGGCAGCAGUAGGGAAUCUUCCGCAAUAGGCGAAAGCUUGACGGAGCAACGCCGCGUGAGUGAUGAAGGUCUUCGGAUCGUAAAACUCUGUUAUUAGGGAAGAACAAAUGUGUAAGUAACUAUGCACGUCUUGACGGUACCUAAUCAGAAAGCCACGGCUAACUACGUG